UUUCCCAGCUGGCUUUAAUUGAUCAACAAACACAACCUCAAACUUCAAUCCUAAAUUUGGCUACUAAAUUUUACAAAAAUGGAACCUCUAAAAUUUUUGAAAUCUCUGUACAUUACCUUCACAUUGGUACUAAUAUUUUUGAGCAGUAUCCCAAAAACCGGUACUUUAAAACCUGAUAAAAGACAGGUAUCAUCUGGUACAAAAACUGAUCCAAACACAGAGUUAGAACUUUUCAAAUCGGCCCCAAAAAGAAAUUUCGAAGAUAAUUAUCCACAGAAACGUAUGGCUCUUUCUUUAGUAACCAGAGAUGUUGCUGAUAUUACACAGGAAGAAAUUUCAAAUAAUUUUGUGGCAAACAACACUGAAUAUUAUACACCAAUCAACACGGGUUUCAGCAUAACAGAACUAUCUGAAGAGAACGUUAUAACCUUAAAAGAUGUUCAAAAUUUAAAAACCUUAAUCCCCGAGACUACAAAAGAUUCAAAUAUUGGGAACAUCUCUUCAUCAGCUUUAGAGCUAGAUUUAUCUGAUCGUAUGAUAACGCUAAGUGAAGAAUUCACGGAAUUGCAACAGCUUGAUGAAAUAGAAAAUGAUCAAAAAGAUGAAUGGAAUGAAAAUAUAAAUGGCUCUCAAGAUAAAAUAGCUGCACAAGAUUUUGGAAGAGGUUUAAAAAUAGCCAAGAUUAAUAAUGGAUCUGGUAAUGUAAGUGACUCCUACAUCCAAGCUGGAAAUAAAAAAAUUGAUCCUUGUAAAACCAACCAUGAUGACACAUUUGUACGCUCAGCGGUAAGACUGCUUAUAGCGAGGUCCAUGUUAUAAUGGCAGUGGAGAAAGAUAGGAGAACAACGUUGCCGAUCUUCUGUCUUGUCAAUGCCUUCUAUAGACGGCUUCUAAGCUGUACACUAAGGGACCAAAGCUGGCCUAUGCCUAUAUUGCUGGUCUAUGGCUCACUGUUUUCUUGGCCAGAAUUGUAAACGCAAUUAAGAAGAACUAAAUCUCAAAACUGACAUUCAAAGCAGUGAAACAAGUGAAUGAGAAAAAAUAUAACAAUGUAGGCUACUGUAACAUACCAAUAUCUAGAUACAUAACUACAUUCCUAAUAUAAAUCUAUAUCUAAUAUAGAUACAUCCCAAUAUAUAUUUGUGGCACCAGGAAUCAUAUAUCAAUGAUAAUUAUUGUAGCAAUAUGGAAAAUUCAAGUAGAUAUUUUUGUAGUAGUAAAAUAAUUUUAAUAAACUUUGUUGAACUAA